rnacentral:rRNA from 1 species
UACGGGGGGAGCAAGCGUUGUUCGGAUUUACUGGGCGUAAAGGGCGCGUAGGCGGCCUCCGCAAGUCAGUUGUGAAAUCUCCGAGCUUAACUCGGAAAGGUCAACUGAUACUGCUUUGCUAGAGUACAGAAGGGGCAAUCGGAAUUCUUGGUGUAGCGGUGAAAUGCGUAGAUAUCAAGAGGAACACCUGAGGUGAAGACGGGUUGCUGGGCUGAUACUGACGCUGAGGCGCGAAAGCUAGGGUAGCAAACGGG